rnacentral:tRNA from 1 species
GAGGGUAUAGCUCAAGUAGAGCACAUGCUUAACAUGCAUAGUGUCCUGGGUUCAAUCCCCAGUACCUCCU